GUGCGUGUGUGCGUGUGUGCGUGUGUGUGUGUGUUGGAUUUCCGUGGUCUCCUCAACCAGGGCAACCACAGAGAGACCUCCUGGUGGCAAACACUCUUCCGUGUGUGUAGAAUACUUCUAGGUGUCUGUGAAAUGCAUGUGAUAUGGACUGUCAUUUAAUUCUGAUACAUCUCUGUGUAUUCCUUUAUCCAGGUUAGCCAUGUAUGAGACACAGGAAUGAAGCCCUUUGGAUACUUCCUGCCUCCAACUGACUCACGGACCCACUCCAUAUGCAAAAUCAAGCCAGCCCACAGCUCGGGGCAGAACUACUGAGUUCAUGAAACACAUAGAUUGUCUCACGACCAAUAUUCAGUUUAAGGGCAGAUGUUUUAUUUUGAGACUAUAUAGCACUGCCUUGAUGCUCUCAGAUCUGGACACUGAAUCUCUGAGGGCGCUCCAAUGAUGAGAGUCUGACAAGGCCAGCAUCCUGCUUUCCUAAGCAUCUGAAAUGAAGGCUCUUCGGGUCCAACACCUGAGUCCUUGAGCUGACAAGACAGAAUUUGAGCUUCCAUAUUCAUCUGCUAACUCCUUCCUCCGCUGAGAAGUCUGCUUUCGUGAGGUUGCAUGGCUGACAGUCAUUUGGCUUCUUGGGCUGAUCCACAAGACCAGUAGCAUUAUGGGAAGGAGCUGGGAAGGAGCUGGGAAGGCCAGGAAGAUGCUCCUGAGCACCAGUUUCAAUGAGCAGAGGAACAACGGGCUUUAUGGACCAUUUCAUUCUGGAGUGCCAAGUAAACUAAGGUCCUUGCAGGCAGAGACAUUAUCCAGAACGUUCGGAGCAGAGGCAGUAUAAUUCACCACAUGAAAGAAAACCUUCACUAAGUUAAAAUCUUUGCUGUGCUGGGGCAUUGAAAAUAUUUGGAAAAUAAUCUUCAUUCCACAGUUUAGUAACAUCAUUCUUUAAAACCACUAAGGCUGUGAACAUUUUUCCCUUAUCUAGACUCUCGUCCCCCACAUGAAGGCCCAUUUGCACGCUGUGAGGACAUCUGUCUUGUUUAUAAUCCUCUUUGUCUGUCUUUAUCAAAUCCUUCAGCUGCGUGGAUCACUGGCCAUUCCCAGACAUCCCAUUUAAUGAGUCUUCUCCAAAGGCUGCUCUAUGGAGAACCUAUGUGCCUGGAAGAGGUCGAUGGUCUCACUUCAGCAUGCUUUAAGAAUUAACCAGGAAUCACAUAAAACUGACUGUAUGCAGGCUCUGUCCCUAAAUGAUCUGGACUCGGGAACCUCAAGGGACUUGUAUUUUCCCUGGAAAAUACACGUCACUUACUGUGUCAGCCUGCAAUCUAAGUGUGGGAUCCGCUGCAACAAGACAAGACACUGACAAUUGUCCCUUAUCUGUGUGUCUUGUCUUUUGUAUUCCAACAAAUCUGUAUAUUUGGUUGCCAAGCUGUGUGGCAAAUACAUACCAGUAACCUACCAGUGACCCAGACAGUAUCCUCAGAAAAGAUGACUCCUGUUUCAGAGGGACAUGGCCACUCCAAGUUGUGGGUCACACUGGCAGAAUCAGCCCAGAGCUCAGUCCUCACCCUGCCGUUGGCCACCAAAUAUUUGAACACGUGUGCUGUCCUCACUGUAUUUAAUGUAUGGAGAGUAAACUUUCCACAUAUAUUUUAACUAAUGAAACUUGGAGUAUUUUGACAUCCUCAAAGCCUCAGUUUCUAAGACUUAGGCAAACUCUGGGGGAUUGUAGCAACACAAUUAUUCUCAUGGAACUAAUAUCCACCACUAAGUGCAGAAGUUGUGAAGAAAACAACAUGAGAGAGAUGGUUUUUAAGAGCACCAAAGAUGGAAAGGAAGAAAGAUCAGGAAAACAACACAAGAAAGCCCAAGGUUGAUUAUUUAAUUCAUAAGUUUUUUUGUGUUGCCCUGGUGUCUUUAUCAUCUUCCCGAGGAAAGAAAAGAGAAGAAAGACUUCCAGCUCAGCCCAGCUCAUGCCACACAAGACUCCUCUG
rnacentral:lncRNA from 1 species